rnacentral:rRNA from 1 species
UAAAGUUCUAGAUAGAAUAAUGAUAAUGACAUUUUCUAUUUAUAUGUCUUGACCAAAUCACGUGCCAGCAGUCGCGGUAAUACGUGGAAGACUAGUGUUAUUCAUCUUUAAUAGGUUUAAAGGGUACCUAGACGGUAUUUUCAGCCAAAUAGAUUUACUAGAGUUUAAUAUAAAAAAGUAUUUUUGGUGUAGAGAUGAAAUUCUGUCAUACCUUAAGGACUGGUACUGGCGAAGGCAGCCUUUUAUGUAAAAACUGACGUUGAGGGACGAAGGCUUGGGGAGCGAUAAGGAUUAGAUACCCUAGUAGUCCAAGCAGAGAAUUAUGAAUGUCAUAUGUUAGAUUGAUUUUAGCGUAUAAAUGAAAGUGUAAGCAUUCCACCUCAAGAGUAAUGCGGCAACGCAGGAACUGAAAUCAUUAGACCGUUUUUGAAACCAGUAGUGAAGUAUGUUGUUUAAUUCGAUGAUCCGCGAAAAACCUUACCACAAUUCGAACCCAAGCGCUGCACGGCUGUCUUCAGUUAAUGUCGUGAGAUUUAAUUAACGUAAACCCUAACUUUAAUUUGGUAAAAGGGACUAAGACAAGUCAUCAUGGCC